rnacentral:tRNA from 1 species
GUGGCUAUAGCUCAGUUGGUUAGAGCGUCGGGUUGUGGUCCCGAAGGCCGUCGGUUCAAGUCCGAUUAGCCACCCCA